UACAGAGGUUACAAGCAUUGUCCGGAAUCACUGGGCGUAAAGCGUUUCGCAGGUGUUUUCUUAAGUUACGUUUGAAAGACCGGGGCUCAACUUCGGGAACGGGCGUAAUACUGGGAAAAUUGAAGGGUAUCGGGGCUAUUGGAACUGUCGGUGUAGGGGUGAAAUCCGUUGAUAUCGACGAGGAACUCCGAGGGCGUAGGCAGAUAGCUAGGUACCUCUUGACACUCAUGAACGAAAGCUAGGGGAGCGAAAGGG
rnacentral:rRNA from 1 species